rnacentral:rRNA from 1 species
AGUGAACGCUGGCGGUAGGCCUAACACAUGCAAGUCGAACGGCAGCACAGUAAGAGCUUGCUCUUACGGGUGGCGAGUGGCGGACGGGUGAGGAAUACAUCGGAAUCUACUUUUUCGUGGGGGAUAACGUAGGGAAACUUACGCUAAUACCUCAUACGACCUACGGGUGAAAGCAGGGGAUCUUCGGACCUUGCGCGAUUGAAUGAGCCGAUGUCGGAUUAGCUAGUUGGCGGGGUAAAGGCCCACCAAGGCGACGAUCCGUAGCUGGUCUGAGAGGAUGAUCAGCAACACUGGAACUGAGACACGGUCCAGACUCCUACGGGAGGCAGCAGUGGGGAAUAUUGGACAAAGGGCGCAAGCCUGAUCCAGCCAUACCGCGUGGGUGAAGAAGGCCUUCGGGUUGUAAAGCCCUUUUGUUGGGAAAGAAAAGCAGCAGGUUAAUACCCCGCUGUUCUGACGGUACCCAAAGAAUAAGCACCGGCUAACUUCGUG